GCGAAUGUAGCUCAGUUGGUUAGAGCGCCAGUUUGUGGUACUGGAUGCCGCCAGUUCGAAUCUGGUCAUUCGCCCCA
rnacentral:tRNA from 2 species